UACGGGGUAGGGCAGUCGUUGUCGGAAUUACUGGGCGUAAAGGGCUCGUAGGCGGCCAACUAAGUCAGACGUGAAAUCCCUCGGCUUAACCGGGGAACUGCGUCUGAUACUGGAUGGCUUGAGGUUGGGAGAGGGAUGCGGAAUUCCAGGUGUAGCGGUGAAAUGCGUAGAUAUCUGGAGGAACACCGGUGGCGAAGGCGGCAUCCUGGACCAAUACUGACGCUGAGGAGCGAAGCCAGGGGAGCAAAACGGGG
rnacentral:rRNA from 1 species